UUGGCUGUAAAACCCCCCCAGCCGAAGUUCGUAUCAGGAGUGACCCCACGGGGAUUCUAUCGGCGUCCGACCUGCGACGGCAGGGAGACUUCGUCUGGACUCCUACGGGAGCCGGACGUCGUCCCCAACUCCAACUACAGGGAGGCUUCGUCGGACUCCUACGGGGGCCGGACUCCGUCUCCAACUUCAACUGCUGGUAAACUUCAUCCAGACUCCUACGAGAGCCGGACUCCGUCUCCAACUUCGACUGCAGGCAAAAUUCGUCCGGACUCCUAUGGGAGCCGGAC
rnacentral:lncRNA from 1 species